rnacentral:rRNA from 1 species
AGAGUUUGAUCCUGGCGUCAGGACGAACGCUGGCGGCACGCUUAACACAUGCAAGUCGAACGGAGAUACUGAGAGCUUGCUUUUGGUAUCUUAGUGGCGGACGGGUGAGUAACACGUGAGCAACCUGCCUUUGAGAGCGGAAUAGCUUCUGGAAACGGAUGGUAAUACCGCAUAACAUUACUUUACCGCAUGAUAGAGUAAUCAAAGAUUUAUCGCUCAAAGAUGGGCUCGCGGCUGAUUAGAUAGUUGGUGGGGUAACGGCCUACCAAGUCGACGAUCAGUAGCCGGACUGAGAGGUUGAACGGCCACAUUGGGACUGAGACACGGCCCAGACUCCUACGGGAGGCAGCAGUGGGGAAUAUUGCACAAUGGGCGGAAGCCUGAUGCAGCGAUGCCGCGUGGAGGAAGAAGGUUUUCGGAUUGUAAACUCCUUUUAUCAGGGACGAUAAUGACGGUACCUGAAGAAAAGCUCCGGCUAACUACGUGCC